AGAGUUUGAUCCUGGCUCAGGACGAACGCUGGCGGCGUGCCUAAUACAUGCAAGUCGAGCGGAUUUCACCUUCGGGUGAAGUUAGCGGCGGACGGGUGAGUAACACGUAGGCAACCUGCCUGUAAGACUGGGAUAACUAUCGGAAACGAUAGCUAAGACCGGAUAGCUGGUUUUCUCGCAUGAGGGAAUCAUGAAACACG
rnacentral:rRNA from 1 species